UUCACUCCUUUUCUUUCCUCCGUUAGUUUUUUUUUUUUUUUUUAGUUUAGUUAUUUUUUUUUACUAUGCAGCUGUGGCAAGUGGGUGCUUUCUGCUUCAUUUUUGUGGUUUCUUUGUAAUUUAAUACGAAAUUUUUAUGUUUUUUGUGGUUGAAAAUUUGGGUUUGGAUCUUGGAAUUAGGUUCAAGUUUUUUCUUCAUAAAUGUUUUCUGAAAGUUUUAUGCUCUAAAAUUUUCAUUGAAUUUUAAGGUUAGGGUUUUUUAUUUUUUUACCGUAAAGUUUUUAGCACAUUCAAGUUUUGUUCUUUGAAUUUUGGCUUGAGUAAGGAAACUGAGCUUUGUUUCUUCUAGAAAUGUUUUCUGAAAGUUUUAUAUUCUAAAAUUUUCAGUGAAUUUUAAGGUUAGGGUUUUUUUUUUUUUUACCGCAAACUUUUUAGCACAUUCAAGUUUUGUUCUUUGAAUUUUGGCUUGAGUAAGGAAACCGAGCUUUGUUUCUUUUAGAAAUGUUAAUGCCGUUUCAGUUUGGGCUUGGUCUUCUUGUUGGUUACUGAGAUAUAUAGAGAAAAUACAAAGACAAGAAAAUUUUGGUUUAUUUCCCAUGUUGUUUGAGUUUUAACAAUAGUAGUAGUUGAAACAAUCCUUGAUUUGUUUACCUUUCAUUACGCAUAAAAGUUCCCCUUUUCCAGCUUGUCCAGCUAGGAAGACUCCAGAAUCUUCUUCGGUAUCGAUUUUACUUUGAGAUUUGACGCAUUAUGAUCAUUUGACAAUGAGAGAGAGCACGCUCGUUGCCAUUCAUGCAAGUACAUGGAUGUUUACAAGCGUGUUCUCUAUUGUUGUCAUAUGAUCUGUAUAAAGUUAUCUUCUCUCAGUAUCUUUCUUUUGCGGCAGUAACAUAUCAAGGCUUAUAUGCUGUGUGUUGUACAAGUGUUUCCUUCUUGGUCGUCGCCUGAUCGCCUCAAUUUCCACUAAUGUGAAAGAGAAGUUUGUCUAGGACUAGAAUUAUGAUGCUGUUUUGGGAGAUACAACAAUCCUUGCCAGCAGAUUUUCAUAUGCUGAUUUCACAUUGCCAUACACUGACUUAGGCAUUGGAAUGGUAGCGGCCAAAGCCAGCAAAAACAAUAUUGAAGGCUCUUUCUGGAGAUCUGUGGAUAACAACUGUUGCUUUCUUUAUUUUCACUGGCUUUGUGGUUUGGCUUAUUGAACGACCCAUCAACGAUGAAUUCCAAGGCUCACCAUCGAAGCAAGUUGGAAUUAUCUUUUGGUAUUCCUUCUCAACGCUUGUAUUUGCCCAUAAAGAGAAGCUCUUGAGUAACUUGUGAAAGUUUGUCGUGAUAAUAUGGGUGUUUGUUGUGCUUAUAUUAACCUCAAGCUACACAGCAACUUUGGCUUCCAUUCUGUUUUUUUGAGAGGAUUAUGUAGGUUAUCAUUCUGGUUUUUUGUUGCCAAGGGCAAUUAGCAACUUAAAUUUUGAAAAUCCCGGAGUAAAGCCAUACCAAUCUCAAGAAGAAUAUGCCAAUGCUUUAAGAAGGGGAAGUAAGAAUGGUGGUGUGUCAGCCAUUAUCAAUGAAAUACCAUACUUAAAGUAUCCCUUGCCAAGUACUCUGCUGAUUACACCAUGAUCCAGUCAAAUUCUACAUCAGGCUUUCAGCUUUGUAAGAAUCCUUUCGAAAGCCCUGAUCUAGUCUAAAAAAUUAAUCUACUUACUAAAAAAUGCCAUUCAUUCCCACAUGAUUCUUUUUUUCUUUUUGUUCAAAAGAAGCUGCAGCUUAGUGAUAGAGAAAAGGGCAACAGGUACUGUGAUUUGAAUCCUAUGUCUACUUGCGCCACUUUUUAAGAGUAAUUGCAUGAAUCAACUAAACUAAAUUUUGGGUUUAUUCCCAUAUGAUUUUGGUCUUUCGUUAACUUGCAGCGAUGGCUGUUGAUUGACUUAUGUUAGCUUGUAGGUUUUCCCCAAGCCCUGUUCCAAGGCAUAUCAAGUGCAAUUGUGAGGAUAAGAGAGGAAGGAAAGCUGCAGAUGAUGGAAAAUGCAUGGUUUAACAGUGAGUCAAACUUUUCAAACCAGGACUCUACAAGUAAUCCCAGCAGUCUAAAACCUUGAUAGCUUUGAGGGUUUGUUUCUUGUUACUGGGAUCUCUUCAACUUCAGUUCUACUAAUAUGGCUAUGUCAAAAACGUCAAUCCAUGACAAUCAGCAACUUCAAAUUCUACCUAAACAGCAGUUUAGAAUAUGUAAAAGGGUACUUCAAUUAGUCUUUAGAAAUAAUUUAUGACACAAAACUAAAUUUUUUAUCAGUAGGCUUGUACAAAUUGUAAGUUUUUCUACUCUUUAUAUUGAGUUUGUAAGCCCUGAAUUUAAUGAUAGUAGGGAUGCGACUAUAUUCAAUGUAAUUUUUUUUCAAAUUUUUUUUUGUUUUUAUAUG